ACUGGGCAAGUGAGAGAAUGUAAACAUGGCCAGCACAGGCCACACUUAAUGCAAUUAGAAAGCCGAGACCUUUUUGGAAGUGUCUCCUGAAAUGACAUGAAUUCUGUGUCAAAUUUUCCAGGAUUGCUUGUUUUAAGCAGACUAAUGUUAGAGGAUCUUCAGGAGACCUAAUGAAGCAUAUCCGGGAAGCAGAAAGUGCUCUGCAGCGCAAACCAGAAACUGAACAUUCCUCUUAGAAAGACCUGCCAUCUUGCUACUCUAUGAACACUGCUCUCUCUGGAGGCUACAGGGAAAUCAGAAAAAGAUGAUCUGGGUGUCGAGAAAAUCUGCUGGUAAGGAAGACUGAGGCACAGAUGCUUGGCUAGACGGGCUUACAGGAGAGAUAUUUUGUAAUGUAAUCUAAAAAGAAACUCUGCUUGCAAAACUCAGCUUUCUACUGACUGCUUAAAGGUGCCCUUCUGAAAUGGAGGCAGGCUCUGGUCCUACCUGUUACACCAAGGAAGCACAGCAAAGAGAAGAGAUUGACAUGUACCCACAGAGCACUUCCAACGGGUUCUUCCUGUAGGAUUUGUGUGAACUGAGCCAAAAAGAACCUGGGUUCAGUUUCCAGGACCAACAUGGUGGUUCACAAAAAUCCAUAACUGCAGCUCCAGGAAAUCUGAUGACUUUGUCUGACCUAUGCAAGCACCUGGAUCACACAUGGUUCACAGAUAUGCAUGUUGGCAAAACACUCAUACAUAUAAAUAAGUUAUUUUUUUAAAAAUGAAAACAAAUAACUUUCAAAGUUGCACCAUUUACAUGAAAUUUUACAAAUGAACCUCACAUGCAGGCAUGUGUAUGACACUCUCAAUUGACACUGUUUCUUCCUGGCAUGGAGAAAAGGAAGAGGACGGUGGUGGAGCGCAACUGCACAUCUAACGUUUGUUGUUUACCACAGGAGAAGAAUCUGAAGUAAACAGACUGCAGUUACCAUCUUCCAAAUGUCUUGUACUUUCAAAAUCUUGUACUUUACAUCCAACAUUAAUAAAACAUUCAAACAAUAA